rnacentral:rRNA from 1 species
CGCGUAAUACCGGCGGCUCGAGUGGUGGCCAAUUUUAUUGGGUUUAAAGCGUUCGUAGCCGGAAUAAUAAGUCUCUUGGGAAAUCUGCAGGCUUAACCGGCAGGCGUUUAAGAGAAACUGUUGUUCUAGGAACCGGAAGAGGUGAGAGGUACUCCGGGGGUAGGAGUGAAAUCCUGUAAUCCCCGGGGGACCACCGRUGGCGAAGGCAUCUSACCAGGACGGCUUCGACAGUGAGGAACGAAAGCUGGGGGAGCGAACCGGAUUAGAUACCCGGGUAGUCCCAGCCGUAAACGAUGUGCGUUAGGUGUGCCGGUGACCACGAGUCACUGGGGUGCCGAAGGGAAACCGUGAAACCUGCCGCCUGGGAAGUACGGUCGCAAGGCUGAAACUUAAAGGAAUUGG